rnacentral:misc_RNA from 1 species
GCAAACUUGGUCAUUUAGAGGAAGUAAAAGUCGUAACAAGGUUUCCGUAGGUGAACCUGCGGAAGGAUCAUUAUCGAAAACAAACCCAGCUGAGGGCUGUCGCUGGCCUCUUGAGGCAUGUGCACGCCCUUCAACUGAUCAUCCAUCUUACCCCUUGUGCACCUUUGCGCAGAGUCCUUGGUUCCUUUGUUGGUCCCUUAGGGCUUGCGCUUUUUAUACAAACUUUGACGUAUGUUUUUGAAUGUCUUGUACGAUGAUAAUGUACACAAUACAACUUUCAACAACGGAUCUCUUGGCUCUCGCAUCGAUGAAGAACGCAGC